UGGGCGUAAAGCGCGCGUAGGUGGUUUUGUCAGUCAGAUGUGAAAGCCCAGGGCUCAACCUUGGAACUGCACCUGAUACUGCAAGACUAGAGUACAAUAGAGGGGAGUGGAAUUUCCGGUGUAGCGGUGAAAUGCGUAGAGAUCUGGAGGAACAUCAAUGGCGAAGGCAACUCCCUGGCCAAAGACUGACGCUCAUGUGCGAAAGUGUGGGUAGCGAACAGGAUUAGAUACCCUGGUAGUCCACACCGUAAACGCUGUCUACUAGCUGUUUGUGGAUUUAAUCCGUGAGUAGCGAAGCUAACGCGAUAAGUAGACCGCCUGGGGAGUACGGCCGCAAGGUUAAAACUCAAAUGAAUUGACGGGGGCCCGCACAAGCGGUGGAGCAUGUGGUUUAAUUCGAUGCAACGCGAAGAACCUUACCUACUCUUGACAUACUAGAAACUUUUCAGAGAUGAAUUGGUGCCUUCGGGAAUCUAGAUACAGGUGCUGCAUGGCU
rnacentral:rRNA from 1 species